GCUGAAAGGAAACAGAGGGGCAUUGUGCCCGGAAUGCGGGGAAUCGGCAGCACGCAGCGCAGCGCUGGCGCAGCUCAAACCCGGACAUUAAAACCUACACGUGGGCUUUGAAAAUGCGGAGCGGGAGCGGCUAGCUGCCAUUGAGGCAGGGUCAAAGGACGUGCUUUGAAACAGAUCUCAGCUUCAAGGCUGAAAAAGGGGUUAUGUGAAAAAUCGGGGAACUUGCAGAGAUCUAAUGAAGAGUUGCCUCAGGCAAGAGAAGGAACUACUUAUUUAAAUCCAAAGAGCCUGGAUUUACAACAAGACCAAGUUGAGUUACAGCAGCGAUGUGAGACUGGAAAUAAGGCUUGCACCGAAAAGCUGUACAACAGCCAAACCCAGAGCUGAGUAUGUGGCUGAGGGAGGAGAGACUGCAGAAGCGUUUUAGAUGCUUCAUCAGAAGCAGACAGUUGAGAUGCCAAAGCAGCUUUCUCUGGCCUUUGUCCUGCCCUGUGUUUGAGAUGACUGCAGUGAGUCUGGGUGCUGGAGAUCGAGAAGCACAGGAGAGCGUGUGGCUCUCAGGAUGCUACCUGCUGUGGCCAGAUAGGUUUCCAAGGGACACCAGCCAGAUGGGUAAGUCAAACUCGUCCUGUCAUACUUUAAAAAAUAGCCUGAUGAAAUGCCUGCCCACCCAGCUAGGAGCGGUGAGAGUCCCUCCCAGGUCAGGAUGCUGAUCUGGUUGAAACCUAAGAACUACCCUCCCAUCUCCUCCAGUUAAUAAAGAUGUGGACAAUGGUGCAACUGCACUUUCUCUGGGAGUCAGAAGGACAUAAAUUCUUUGUGGCAAAGGACACUGACUGUGCAGAUGCAGGAGUCACCUCCCACAUCCCACACACGGGGUUUCUACCCCUUUUGAGAGAGUUUAACCAAAACUAUUCUGUUGCUCUAACAACACACCCUCCAUCAAUCUGCCAGUUUCACUUGUCCGGUGCAGCUAUUCCCAGAGCACAGACCUCAAGGCACUGCUGUACCCACCAGCCUGUGUUUGCAGCUGCCUGUCAGACAGUGAUUCCUAACGUGGUAGUAAAAUUAUUAACAUUUAACAUUUGAGAGGUCUGGAUGACGAGUUUAACCCAGUGAAAAGAACGUUCCUUUCAGCUGAAAGCUAACAGUCCGCAGCUGUUCCCAGCUCCCCACUUCUGAGCUAAGAUAAUACAGGGCAUCUCAUCCCCAGUGGACUCCACCAAGAGCCCUCUCUCCAUUUCUUCAUGUUAUUUGCCACUUGAUUCCUUCUUGCAACAGCAGUAGUUGAAACAAUUGUUUUUCCUCACAUAUUUGUUUGGUGGAUUUUGGUUUUGUUUUGUUUGUCUGUUUGUUUGUUUCUGAAACCAUAUACAGGUUGGGUAUCUGCAACCACCUGACAGGCAGCAGCAGAGCAGAGGAGAGGAUGCUCUCUGAGCAUUCUGGCACCAGGAUACUAGUUAUUAAAAGAUUCAGUCUGGCCAGCCCUGGAUUGCACUUGUGUUACUACAUACUUGCACACCCCACAUCUCCAACACUAACAUUACGAGGUGAUCUGUAUUUGUCUGGAAAGAUUGGGAAUGGGUGCUGUAAGGUAUCUUUACAUUGCAGCUGUAAGGAACAUAUUCUGGACAGUUCCAGCACUUCAAAAAUCAUUAGAGUGUAUUAAAUCUGUAGCUGUGAAAUCCCUUUCUAGAUGGAAAACUGAAGUCUACAAGAUUUAUUUAUUUUAAAGACAGUGCUGAUGUAUUUAACAAUAUAUUGAAUACAGAAUGCUUUCUGUAAGCCACAGAUGGCUUCAAACAAUAGCUCAGACAACAGC
ensembl:lncRNA